UCGAGGAUUGUGACGGUGAAAUAUUUAUUAUAUUGAUUACUAUAAAAUAGUAUUAAUUAAAAGGCGAAUGAGCUAGAUAGUGUUCUAAACUUUAUUUAAUUAAUUACAUUUUUAAAAAAUAGGAUUAUUAUUUUUUUACCUUGUUUAUUAUUUUUACUUUUUUUUAGUUAAGUAUUUUUAUUUUAAUAUUUUUAUGUACCUUAAC
rnacentral:lncRNA from 1 species